AUGUCUGGGAAACUGCCUGAGGAGGGGGAUAACUACUGGAAACGGUAGCUAAUACCGCAUAACGUCGCAAGACCAAAGAGGGGGACCUUCGGGCCUCUUGCCAUCGGAUGUGCCCAGAUGGGAUUAGCUAGUAGGUGGGGUAACGGCUCACCUAGGCGA
rnacentral:rRNA from 1 species